CAGUAGCCGCGGUAAUACGUAGGUGGCAAGCGUUGUCCGGAAUUAUUGGGCGUAAAGGGCUCGCAGGCGGUUUCUUAAGUCUGAUGUGAGAGCCCCCGGCUCAACCGGGGAGGGUCAUUGGAAACUGGGAAACUUGAGUGCAGAAGAGGAGAGUGGAAUUCCACAUGUAGUGGUGAAAUGCGUAGAGAUGUGGAGGAACACCAGUGGCGAAGGCGACUCUCUGGUCUGUAACUGACGCUGAGGAGCGAAAGCGUGGGGAGCGAACAGGAUUAGAUACCCCCGUAGUCCCUGUCUCUUAUAA
rnacentral:rRNA from 1 species